UCUACCCACCGCAACCGAGCCUCACGCGUAAGAUGAUUGUUAUCUAGCCAACCGGCAAUACCAUGUUAUUUUAUUCUAUAAUCUGCUUUUGGGCUUUUGGAUAAUACAUGCAGUCACUGGCUCUUGAUGUUUAGUAUGGAGGGAAAACAUUUACGGUGCAAGCCAACCACUGCAAUCGGCUGGUGCCCCUGCCUCAUGCAGGGCUGAAGGUUUGCUGUUGAUAUUCCUCUGGAGGUGGAACCUCGUUAAAACCUUUGGUGACCAGUCACGUUCCCCAACCACCUCCUCCACCUCGGAUCAUCGGAGGCCAGCCGUUGUACAGUGUUUGACACAUCCUUGCCAGUCGGCGAAUGGGACACUCCAAAAUUUCGAGGCCUGGGAGGUAUGCAGCCCAGAGAAACGGUUGUUGGUCUGAGCUUGGGAUGUCCUGGAUCCUGAAUUCAUCCGUAAAUUCUAUCGGCUUCACCCUCAACCUACUGGAGGAACGUCGGGAACCAUUUGUUAGGCUACCCGGCCUCUGGCGUUGAUCCCUGCAUUUGGGUCUGACUACAAACUCCUGUGACACCCGUCCAUGCAACUGGAUGCUAAAUCCAAUGUCAAUGCUGCUGUCUCAUUUCCAGCUGCUAAUGGCACUAGCAGUAUAUUUCUGUAGCUCCUUUGUGGGGCGACAUAGCUAAGGAGGGGCACAAACAAGAACAUUACUGUGACAAUUUGAUGUUUGGUACUGCAACGUACUACCAGCAACACCUGCAACCAACCAGAAGCCUCCUGUAGUUAAGAAGAAAGGGGAAAGCAGAGAGGGUAAGGGAUAGAGAAGGGAUCGCUGAUCGGAAGGGAAAUCGAACCCUCAGCUGCAAAGGGGAGCUCAUCAAUGGGUUGAUAAACGGGUCAGCCGUGUAACUAUGUUACACAUCUCGCCGAACAUCUCUAUUUGAAUCUGCAUGCAGGGUAGAGUCAUAUAUUAUAUGGUGUUCACCUGACAUUAACACCAUCAAGGCCUUUGUGUAAUUGUGUGAGAAAAAAGUUUAUUAAAAAGCUAUUCAAGAGCAUACCAACUGUCAGGCACAAGGACAUCAGAAUGGAGUUAUGUAUUCCUGAGCAUAUUAAUGGCAAGGAGGUCUCAUGGGACAUAAUAUAUUUUGAGCAGUUUACACCUACGCCGAACCAGUCCUCUAAUUUUGUGAGUCCCAAGAGCAUAAGUCCUUCACCGUUCCUGGCUGUGCAAUAUGCAAAUUGUUGGUUUAAUGUGUGUUUGCUUCAGCUGCAACCACACACUUGUACAUGGAAAUGAACUAGAAAAAGAAAUUCCAUUGUUCUCAUUGAAUUGGAGCUCAGGGGUAUGACAUUCAUUACAUUUGCAACAUUACCAGCUUUACUUUCAAAAACCUAAACAAAAAUGACUAUUUGGCAUUUGCUUAUUAAAUCAGGAACACGCAUACAGUAUUUUUCAUCAUCAGCCACCAGAUCCUCACAUAUGCCAUAAUAAAACUUAGGAAAUCAUUUACAUAUUUAAAUUGUUUCAGUUUUGAGUAAUGAAAUCAAUUUGUUCAACUCUAACAGUGUUAACAUUCUCUGAAAUGUGGGACCAAAUGCCAUCUGUUAAGAGUUGAAUUAACACUCUUAGCACUGAAUUAACACUGGGCAUUUUACUGUGUACCUUAAAAGAAUUGCUGCAUUAAGGUAUUUUCAUACAAUAUAUUUUUCAUUGACUACUUGUUGUGCUGCACUUCAGAGGUAAAUAUGCUUAGCUUUUUGAUUAUGAAUACUGUAGUGGUGUUCACAGUCAUUUAUUACAUUUGUUAGCUUUUUGGCACUGCGGGAAUAACUAAUUUACAUAUUUUAAAUGGCUUUUCAUUAAAAUAAAUAGUAUUUUGCUGCUACAUAGGUUUGUGACUGCAAGAGUGUUUGUGGGAGUCUCAAGGCCUCAAAGAACACAAGACUAAGAAACUUCAAUCCACCCACUGCAGUGACGGGAAAACUGUGUUGUAGGAGGUGCCCUCUUUCAGAUGAGACAUUAAACUGAGGCCCUGACUAGUCUUUGAAGAUGUGUGGUGAAUGUUUUGGUCCAAAAUGGCUGCUGUGGUGAUGAUGCACAUUGGUAGAGGUGAAGUUGAGGCAACUGAAAACAGUGGGGACUGAAAAAAUGUCAAGCGUUUUGUGAGCACACAUGGGAGGCAUAUCUCCAGAUGUAGCCUGGGGCUGCAGAGGCUGGAAAUGCUCAGGUGUAACCGUAAAGAAUUAGCAUGCCGCGAUCGUCCCAAGCUGUGACAUCCCCUUGCAAAUGAAUCCUUCUGGAACGCACCUGGCCGCGCCGAGGAACGCUGACUGAUUAACGGCACCUUGGAAUCGCAAAGUUAGACUCGCAUCACUUUUGAUAAACAGGCAUUAACCCAAAGUUUAGGGUUGGGUGAUGUAAUUGGCAUAAACGAUCUUCGCCUGAGAUGCAAAGUAAUUUCCAGCUGGGCCUGUGCUUCCUAUUUUUUCAUUCCGUCUCCAUCCUAGAUAAACUGAGGAGUCGUUUAGGAGGAAUUGAAAGUGUUCCUGUGGAUAACAAAGACAUUUUGUGCUCGGUGAUGCAUGUAGUGAGCUCUCCAGACUACUGCAGAAAAUCUUUCACCGUAAGUUCUGC